CAGUCGCCACGGUAAUACGUAGGUCCCGAGCGUUGUCCGGAUUUAUUGGGCGUAAAGCGAGCGCAGGCGGUUAGAUAAGUCUGAAGUUAAAGGCUGGGGCUUAACCAUAGUAUGCUUUGGAAACUGUUUAACUUGAGUGCAGAAGGGGAGAGUGGAAUUCCAUGUGUAGCGGUGAAAUGCGUAGAUAUAUGGAGGAACACCGGUGGCGAAAGCGGCUCUCUGGUCUGUAACUGAUGCUGAGGCUCGAAAGCGUGGGGAGCAGACAGGAUUAGAUACCCCUGUAGUCCCUGUCUCUUAUACA
rnacentral:rRNA from 1 species